rnacentral:rRNA from 1 species
UGAGUACGAGAUGCUACGGCAUCGAAGCAGUCUAUGUCAUACUUCCAAGAAAAGCUUGCAAUGUCAUAAACAAAUAAUGCCUGUACCAUAACCGACACAGGUGGGUAGGUAGAGUAUACUAAGGGGCGCGAGAUAACUCUCUCUAAGGAACUCGGCAAAAUGACUCCGUAACUUCGGGAGAAGGAGUGCCUUAUUUUUAUAAGGUUGCAAUAACAAGAUCCAAGCAACUGUUUACCAAAAACACAGGUCUCCGCUAAGUCGUAAGACGAUGUAUGGGGGCUGACGCCUGCCCAGUGCCAGAAGGUUAAAGAAGUUGGUUAGCAUUAGCGAAGCUGAUAACUGAAGCCCUGGUGAACGGCGGCCGUAACAAUAACGGUCCUAAGGUAGCGAAAUUCCUUGUCGGGUAAGUUCCGACCCGCACGAAAGGCGUAAUGAUUUGGAUACUGUCUCGGAGAGGGGCUCGGUGAAAUAGACUUGUCUGUGAAGAUGCGGACUACCUGCACCUGGACAGAAAGACCCUAUGAAGCUUUACUGUAACUUGAGAUUGAAAUUGGACUUUAUCUGCGCAGUAUAGGUGGGAGACGUUGAAAAUAUUCUUGCGGGAAUAUUGGAGUCAUCAGUGAGAUACCACUCUUAUAAUGUUAGAUUUCUAACUUUGUAUCAUUAACUGGUCAAAGAACAGUUUCAGGCGGGCAGUUUGACUGGGGCGGUCGCCUCCCAAACGGUAACGGAGGCGCACAAAGGUUUCCUCUGAACGUGUAGAAAUCGUAUCUAGAGUGUAAAGGCAUAAGGAAGCUUGACUGUGAGACCUACAAGUCGAGCAGGGACGAAAGUCGGUCUUAGUGAUCUGACGGUGCUGAGUGGAAAGGCCGUCACUCAACGGAUAAAAGUUACUCUAAGGAUAACAGGCUGAUCUCCCCCAAGAGUUCACAUCGACGGGGAGGUUUGGCACCUCGAUGUCGGCUCAUCGCAUCCUGGGGCGGUAGUACGUCCCAAGGGUUGGGCUGUUCGCCCAUGAAAGCGGUACGCGAGCUGGGUUCAGAACGUCGUGAGACAGUUCGGUCCAUAUCCGGUGUAGGCGUUAGAAUAUUGAGAGGAGCCUUCUUUAGUACGAGAGGACCGAGAAGGACAUACCUCUGGUGUACCAGUUAUCGUGCCAACGGUAAACGCUGGGUAGCCAUGUAUGGAGAGGAUAACCGCUGAAAGCAUCUAAGUGGGAAGCCCACCUCAAGAUAAGUAUUCGC